rnacentral:lncRNA from 1 species
GAACUUAGGUUGAUGUCAAAAGAGGUAAUUGAAUUGGCCUGUCAAGAUGGAUGCUUUUUAUUUAUCCGGCAGCAGAGCAGGACUAUGAAAAAGAGAAGCUUAUUACAGGUAAUUCAAGUUUACUAGCUUUUCAUAUAGUAUGUGUUUUGGCUGAUUUAUCUAAUUCACCAAAUUUCAUUACUUUUUGAUAUUGAGAUGUUGUAAUUAAGUUAUAAUAGUUAUAAAAAAAUUAUAAUUUUAAAAUAAAAAUAGAUAAUGUAUAAUAAAUAUAACUUUUAAAUAAUAAUUUUAAAAAAUAACAAAUAUAUAUUAUAAGUUUUUCAUUAUAUAACUGUGGAAUCAAAUCAAUUUACUUUUCAAGUUACAGUAACUAAUAUUUACCUAAUACUUUAGUACCGUAACUUAAAGUCUACAGAACUCAAAGAAAUAUUUUUUGCAUCUUCAUAUUUGUGUGAAUUCAUCCUUUCAUUGAGAAAAACCAUUUCCAGGCGGCAGUUGGCAGUGAAUUCACGCAAAUUUUGAUGCCAUUCAUAGACAUUAAAGACAAUGAGGAGGCAAAGGUGAUAAAUCAUAACUGCAUAAUUAUCAAAUCUCCAUCUUUCUCUCAUUGUAAUUUGAUUUUCAAUGAAUAAUUGCUAGGUAAUGGUUGCCGAUAUUGUUAAAACGUGUGUUCAGCUACCCAAGCUAAAAAGUUAGUUGCCAAAAAUGCAGGGGAUCAAAAGAAACAUUGCAUUUGAAAAGGCCAGAGGUUCUGUUUGAUUUUCCUGACCAAAUCGAAUUAUUUUUUUUCUUCAUUCCAAUGCCAAGAAUGUUAUCAUGAGACUCACCAAGAAGUUAAAUCUCAGGGCAUUGUUACAUCUUACCUCUAUGAAGGGACUCAAAGAGUUGAGGUGAAUACAUCUUUGUUAUUUUGAUGCCAGAAUUGUGCAAUUCUCAGUUGGUUCCUUUCACAUGCUGUUGACUGCAGUGCAUCUAGUUGAUGUGCAUCUUUGAUGUGACCCCGGGAAAAUGCUUGUAUGGUGUUCUUGUAAUUUCAUUUGGAGAUAAGUAAUAUCUGUUGUUCAAAUAUAUUUUAUUUACAAGCUGUUAAUAAAUCUGCUUGCAGAAAGCUUACAGAGGAGCUGCGUGAUGUAAUAGAAGACUACAGUCUGGUUAAUUUUCAACCUUAGAUAUUCAGG